UGAGUACGAGACGCUAAGGCGUUGAAGCAGUCUAUGUCAGACUUCCAAGAAAAGCUCGCAAUGUCAUAAACAAAAAUGCCUGUACCAUAACCGACACAGGUGGGUAGGUAGAGUAUACUAAGGGGCGCGAGAUAACUCUCUCUAAGGAACUCGGCAAAUGACUCCGUAACUUCGGGAGAAGGAGUGCCUUAUUUUUAUAAGGUUGCAAUAACAAGAUCCAAGCAACUGUUUACCAAAAACACAGGUCUCCGCUAAGUCGUAAGACGAUGUAUGGGGGCUGACGCCUGCCCAGUGCCAGAAGGUUAAAGAAGUUGGUUAGUUUCGGCGAAGCUGAUGACUGAAGCCCUGGUGAACGGCGGCCGUAACAAUAACGGUCCUAAGGUAGCGAAAUUCCUUGUCGGGUAAGUUCCGACCCGCACGAAAGGCGUAAUGAUUUGGAUACUGUCUCGGAGAGGGGCUCGGUGAAAUAGACUUGUCUGUGAAGAUGCGGACUACCUGCACCUGGACAGAAAGACCCUAUGAAGCUUUACUGUAACUUGAGAUUGAAAUUGGACUUUAUUUGCGCAGUAUAGGUGGGAGACGUUAAGAAUAUUCUUGCGGGAAUAUUGGAGUCAUCAGUGAGAUACCACUCUUGUAAUGUUAGAUUUCUAACUUUGUAUCAUGAUCUGGUCAAAGGACAGUUUCAGGCGGGCAGUUUGACCGGGGCGGUCGCCUCCCAAACGGUAACGGAGGCGCACAAAGGUUUCCUCUGAACGUGUAGAAAUCGUAUCUAGAGUGUAAAGGCAUAAGGAAGCUUGACUGUGAGACCUACAAGUCGAGCAGGGACGAAAGUCGGUCUUAGUGAUCUGACGGUGCUGAGUGGAAAGGCCGUCACUCAACGGAUAAAAGUUACUCUAGGAUAACAGGCUGAUCUCCCCCAAGAGUUCACAUCGACGGGGAGGUUUGGCACCUCGAUGUCGGCUCAUCGCAUCCAGGGGCGGUAGUACGUCCCAAGGGUUGGGCUGUUCGCCCAUGAAAGCGGUACGCGAGCUGGGUUCAGAACGUCGUGAGACAGUUCGGUCCAUAUCCGGUGUAGGCGUUAGAAUAUUGAGAGGAGCCUUCUUUAGUACGAGAGGACCGAGAAGGACAUACCUCUGGUGUACCAGUUAUCGUGCCAACGGUAAACGCUGGGUAGCUAUGUAUGGAGUGGAUAACCGCUGAAAGCAUCUAAGUGGGAAGCCCACCUCAAGAUAAG
rnacentral:rRNA from 1 species